rnacentral:rRNA from 1 species
CCUACGGGAGGCAGCAGUAGGGAAUUUUCGUCAAUGGGCGCAAGCCUGAACGAGCAAUGCCGCGUGAACGAGGAAGGUCUUCGGAUCGUAAAGUUCUGUUGAAGGGGAAAAAGAGCGGAGAGAGGAAAUGGUCUCCGAUUGAUAUUACCCUUCGAGGAAGUCACGGCUAACUACGUGCCAGCAGCCGCGGUAAUACGUAGGUGGCGAGCGUUAUCCGGAAUGAUUGGGCGUAAAGGGUGCGUAGGCGGCCUGCUAAGUCUGGAGUGAAAGGUACCGGCUCAACCGGUACAGGCUCUGGAAAAUGGCGGGCUAGAGAGCAGGAGAGGGCGGUGGAACGCCAUGUGUAGCGGUAAAAUGCGUAGAUAUAUGGAAGAACACCAGUGGCGAAGGCGGCCGCCUGGCCUGUUACUGACGCUGAGGCACGAAAGCGUGGGGAGCAAAUAGGAUUAGAUACCCCAGGAGUA